AUUCAGAAGAAUCUUUUUACUAAAGGAAGAAUAAAGGGUAUAUUUUAUAAUAACUUAUAGAUAAACAGGAACAUGAGCAGAGUUUUCUGCUUUAUUGUUGUUUUUUGCUGUAGCUUUUUAAGAUAAUGAGCCUCAUCUUGCCUUUGCCGAAAUCCUUCUGUGCUAAGUUUGAUUUAUGCAUUCAUGCAAUGCCAGGCUGCCAGGUGAGUGGCUGCUACUGUGGCAAAUAACUUUUAUUCAACACUUCCCAUCUCCACCGAAAUGCAAACAUUCAAGCACUCUAUAUGUUCCUUUCCAGGAAUUACUUUCUUCUCACCUCUAAGUCAACAGUACUUGAUACUUAUCUUAUGUUACUGUGAUCUUCUCUCGUUUCCAAACUCAUGCUAUGUGUUUCUGAUCUUAUUUUAUUUAGUCUGCUUAAAGAUGUCAGUCAAUUUUACAUUAUAUUUGUUUCCAUCCAAUCCCAAGGUGAAAGAUGAAUUUCUUAUCAAGGUGAAGUCUAAUCCCGCAUAGUAAAAAGUGCCUGGGUGCUGCCUCGUAUGCACGUGCCUUAGCCAUCCUGGACUUUGAAUGGAAUUGUUACUACUUGCUGCUGUAGAUGUUGAGAUAAAAUUUCAUCUUCCUAAUAGGUAGCUGUGACGCUAAUAUGCUUUAGAGAUGUCACUUCUCAGGUCUGCAAAGAAAGGGUUGAUUGGUUUAUUGUUUGUAGUAUCUUUAGAUCUUGGGCUGGGCUCGCAAAGGCAGAAAGAAAAAUCCAGAAGUACUGCCUCUGGCUUGGGAUAGCUGUCCCUGCAAGCUUGUCCUGUUUCAUACUCUCCCUUAAACACUUCCUCUUGGCUUCUGUAAGAGAAGGGAGAACGGGGUGGAUGAAGCUGUGCUUUCUCGCUUAUGUGCUUCCUUUAUCUUGAUAGCUACCACAUUUGAGUAUUUUUCCUCUAUCUGAGCCUUUCUAAUAAAGGAAUCAUAUUCUUCGAAAUGCUUUGCUUGUUAGUUACUGUCUAGGCAAAUAAACCAGGUAAAUAAACCCUUGUCUGCAGGAGAACAUUAGAGUGCUCCUCUAUCUACUCUCCUCUGAGAAAGAUGUCUCGUACUCAUUGCCAUUAUUCUUCAGUCACAGCAGCACUAGAUAAAUAAUAGGCUCCAUUAUCCCCUUCUAGAAAUGAAAAUCUUUUGCAUGUACCCACAGUCUUGGCUUCAUAAUGCCUGGUUUAUCUUGCUUGAGAUUCCUAGGAUGAGGACAUAUGUAGGAAGAGAAGGAAUAGCCAGCAGUGUUAAGACCUUGGUCUGUUUUCUUUUCUCUCAAAGACUGUCAAGCUUCUAGUUAAGAAAACUUGCUGCACUGCUGGUGCUUUCAAAACCUACAUAGAUUGGGAACAGCAGCCCUUGAAAAGCCUCCUCUUCUGGAUAAGUAUACAACUUUUUCAGGCAUGUAGAAAAAUUUAACGUCUCAAAAUUUACUCCUGUGUUUUUAGGCUUAGCAUCUACCUAGUAGUGAUAGUGAUACUAGGUAGUAUCAUUUUCUGCUUUGUCAUAUCUUCAAAAGUGACGCUCUGCCUGGCAUGGAAACCGGCAGAAUUUGGGAAAGGUCUGAUUUUGCUAGUUAUUUUUGCCCCCAUAAUUGAGAGGAAGUUUUGCUAAAGCAGUGCUGCCCUCCUCUUCCCUGUUUCCAGAUACCUGUCUCUAUUUUAGGAUUUCAAGCUCCAGCAGUCUUCCUUAACAAACAAUUACAGGAACAGUUUUGAGAAUUUCAGCUCUGUUUGUAGAGACUGGCCCUGAAAGCCUCAGUCUGCUCAUGUGCUGGCAGAAGGGAAUUAAAUUCCCAGAUGUCUGGGCUCACUCUUACAAGGAGAAAUAUUCCUUUUGUUCAUGUUUGUUCUUUGUGGAGAAAACUAAUUCCCAUUGUGUAGGAUUUUGUUUUAGUAAGGUCUGUAUAUUGCAAUAAAAUAUUUGGAAACAUCUUCUGUAGUUUGAAUUACACUAUUGUCCUUUUACUGGGGAAAACAGUCUUAUUGAAGUAGGUUUAUUGUUCUGAGAGAGGAAAAAUAAACUCUAAUAUAUAGGUUUAAGAAGCCCUAGAAGAAAAUGGUACUUUCUGCUGGCUAAAGUAUGGAUUUUAAGGCAAGAUAGUUACUGUCCAUAAAAAAUGCCCAUGCUGGUAUAAUGUAACA